rnacentral:lncRNA from 1 species
GAAAAGAAAGAAGUAGAGGUCAAGAGAGCCUCCCCUCCCCACCAUUCCCAGAAAAGGAGGAAGGGGCUGAUGGACUCUCUGGGAACCCCCUCCCCUCCCUGCGCCCCGUCAUCAAGAAGAAAAUUCGAAGAAAAGGUUUAGCAGGGACAGAGAAGCGACCUGUCCCGGAAACCCCUUAAAGCCUGCGAGUCAGUUCAAACUGGAAUCUGUCAGGCCCGUCCCGCUCGGGGUUGGUGAGGUCUGAGGGACUUCGGGGGAUCUUGCUCUGGUACCACUCUCGAUUGUCCUCCAGCGUGUCCAGCAGGUCCUGUGCAUCUGGGUGGACCAGUGUCUACCGGUUCAGCCCAGUCCCCUGCCAACCUGGGACUUCUCCACUGAGGCCGUAUGCUUGUCACACAUGGGACUGAUGUCCAGGCCCGACUCACGCUCGCGGUCUCCCUGCUGGAAGAACUCGGCCAUGAUGCGAGACAGGGUCUUGCUGUCACCCAGGCUGGAGUGCAGUGGUGCAAUCACGGUUCCCUGCAGCCUCAACCUCCUGGCCUCAAGUGAUCCUCCCAUCUCAGCCUCCUGAGUAGUUGGGAUUACAGGAACCAAAGCAGUGACUCAACAAAGCUCACCCAGGAAGGUCCGGGAGAUGUACUCGGACACCUGGUUCCCGGAGCGGCUGGUUUCGGACAGGUGGGUCAACUCCCGGUUCAGGAUCCGCUUGAACUGGGGCGGAGAGAAGGUGAAGACCGUGAUGAUGGGGCACCGUGGGCCGAGGCAGGUGAGCUCAGCGAUCUGCCCCACCUCACCUUGUUGGAGGCCAUCUCCCCCACCGAGUGCCGGGUCUGCAGCGUCUCCAACUGAUCCAGGCACCAGUCCAGCUCGUC